UGUCCAGUAGCACCUUAGAGACCAACUAAGUUUGUUCUUGGUAUAAGCUUUCGUGCGCAUGCACACUUCUUCAGAUACACACACAUGAAAGCGUAUACCAAGAACAAGUUUAGUUGGUCUCUAAGGUGCUACUGGACA